GACGAACGCUGGCGGCGUGCCUAAUACAUGCAAGUCGAACGAGAGCGACCGGUGCUUGCACUGGUCAAUCUAGUGGCGAACGGGUGAGUAACACGUGGGUAACCUGCCCAUCAGAGGGGGAUAACAUUCGGAAACGGAUGCUAAAACCGCAUAGGUCUUCGAACCGCAUGGUUUGAAGAGGAAAAGAGGCGCACGCUUCUGCUGAUGGAUGGACCCGCUGUGCAUUAGCUAGUUGGUGAGGUAACGGCUCACCAAGGCCGUGAUGCAUAGCCGACCUGAGAGGGUGAACGGCCACAUUGGGACUGAGACACGGCCCAAACUCCUACGGGAGGCAGCAGGAGGGAAACUUCCGCAAUGGACGCAAGUCUGACGGAGCAAAGCCGCGGGAGUGAAGAAGGUUUUCGGAUCGUAAAACUCUGUUGUUAGAGAAGAAUAAGUGCUAGAGUAACUGUUAGCGACGUGAAGGUAUCUAACCAGAAAGCCACGGCUAACUAAGUG
rnacentral:rRNA from 1 species